AACAUGUUUCGGACAUUUAUGCCAUUUUCAUCUGUUAGAUUCAUCUGAUCUGAAGGAGUGGUUAUAGUCGAGUGGAUUGGAUGCUGGCUUCAUAAUUUAGAGACCUGGGCUCGAAUAUCGGCCUGAACAAGAUAUUUUUUCUCAGCAACUCUUAUGUUUUAGAUGGACACUUCAAGUCGUCGAUCCCGGCUGCCUGGAAACAGUCGAUGUCCACAUGUGACCAGGGGACUGAUAGCCAAUCACCAGUCUCAGAGCACAAUUCAUUGAGUGGAAAAUCAGAUUCCAGUUUGACCAAGGCCAUUGAACAAGAAGUGUGUGGUGGUAGAAUAGCCAAAGUAGAAUCUGUAA